CCUACGGGUGGCAGCAGUGAGGAAUAUUGGUCAAUGGACGAGAGUCUGAACCAGCCAAGUAGCGUGAAGGAUGACGGCCCUAUGGGUUGUAAACUUCUUUUAUAUGGGAAUAAAAUGUUCCACGUGUGGGUUUUUGUAUGUAUCAUAUGAAUAAGGAUCGGCUAACUCCGUGCCAGCAGCCGCGGUAAUACGGAGGAUUCGAGCGUUAUCCGGAUUUAUUGGGUUUAAAGGGAGCGUAGGUGGACUGUUAAGUCAGUUGUGAAAGUUUGCGGCUCAACCGUAAAAUUGCAGUUGAAACUGGCAGUCUUGAGUACAGUAGAGGUAGGCGGAAUUCAUGGUGUAGCGGUGAAAUGCUUAGAUAUCACGAAGAACUCCGAUUGCGAAGGCAGCUCACUGGACUGCAACUGACACUGAGGCUCGAAAGUGUGGGUAUCAAACAGGAUUAGAUACCCGGGUAGUC
rnacentral:rRNA from 1 species